rnacentral:rRNA from 1 species
UACGUAGGGUGCAAGCGUUGUCCUGAAUUAUUGGGCGUAAAGAGCUCGUAGGCGGUUCGUCGCGUCGGCUGUGAAAACCCGGAGCUCAACUCCGGGCCUGCAGUCGAUACGGGCGGACUCGAGUUCGGCAGGGGAGACUGGAAUUCCUGGUGUAGCGGUGAAAUGCGCAGAUAUCAGGAGGAACACCGGUGGCGAAGGCGGGUCUCUGGGCCGAUACUGACGCUGAGGAGCGAAAGCGUGGGGAGCGAACAGG